rnacentral:lncRNA from 1 species
AUGGAUGGAUGGUCUGGAGUCUGGAGUCUGGACGCCUCGGGAUUGGGGGUGGGGGAUCUUUCUCGGAGGGGAGAGCACAGGCCAUUGGUGGGGGUGGUGGGUUCGCCUUUUGAAUUACUGCGCUGCAAAGCAGGAACAGUAAAGCUGAUCAGGAGACAUCUCACAUCUAAUGUCUCUGUUUUGGUGCUAGUAAAGCAGAUCUUCCUGCACAGUGGCUUGACUGGCUUCAUCCUCCAGAACCUUCAGAACGUACAGUUGACAUCGAAGACCUUCUGUUGCUAUGAAGCUGAAGGCACCACAUUGCGAGAUGCAUCAUGUGCAUUACAUCUUAAGAAUGAAGCUGCAUGUCAUCCAUCCUGUGGUCAAUCAUAUCUAAAAGCUUGUCAUUUCUGGCGCUAUCUUGCAACAAGCUCAUCAGGUGAAGGGCUUCCUCUGUCUGCGAGUGACACUAGUGAUUUUUCUGUACGAGGCCCCAUCAUUUUUCCAUAUGGACCGUAACUAGUGGCGU